rnacentral:rRNA from 1 species
AGUGAACGCUGGCGGUAGGCCUAACACAUGCAAGUCGAACGGCAGCACAGGAGAGCUUGCUCUCUGGGUGGCGAGUGGCGGACGGGUGAGGAAUACAUCGGAAUCUACUCUGUCGUGGGGGAUAACGUAGGGAAACUUACGCUAAUACCGCAUACGACCUACGGGUGAAAGCAGGGGACCUUCGGGCCUUGCGCGAUUGAAUGAGCCGAUGUCGGAUUAGCUAGUUGGCGGGGUAAAGGCCCACCAAGGCGACGAUCCGUAGCUGGUCUGAGAGGAUGAUCAGCCACACUGGAACUGAGACACGGUCCAGACUCCUAUAGGAGGCAGCAGUGGGGAAUAUUGGACAAUGGGCGCAAGCCUGAUCCAGCCAUACCGCGUGGGUGAAGAAGGCCUUCGGGUUGUAAAGCCCUUUUGUUGGGAAAGAAAUCCAGCUGGCUAAUACCCGGUUGGGAUGACGGUACCCAAAGAAUAAGCACCGGCUAACUUCGUGCCAGCAGCCGCCGUAA